GCCUGCCAGAGAAUUACAAGCAAAAGCUCAAAACUCAAAGGACUUGACGGUAUCUCACACACCCCUAGAGGAGCCUGUCCUAUAACCGAUGACCCACGUUACACCUCACCCCCUAUUGCAAACCCAGCCUAUAUACCGCCGUCGCCAGCCCGCCUUAUGAUAGUAUAGCUAAAGCCGGCAAAAUUGCCCCCACAAAUACGUCAGGUCAAGGUGUAGCUAAUAAGGGGGGCAGUGAUGGGCUACAUUACCUACUCUAGGACAUUUACCACAAGUUCUAUGAAAACAGAACUAGAAGGUGGAUUUAGCAGUAAACUUUGACAAGACCUGCCAAAUUGAA
rnacentral:rRNA from 1 species